GACGUAGGGCGCGAGCGUUGUCCGGAAUUAUUGGGCGGUAAAGAGCUCGUAGGCGGUGUGUCACGUCGGCCGGUGAAACCUGACAGCUUAACUGUGGGCGUGCGGUCGAUACGGGCAUCACUGGAGUUCGGCAGGGGAGACUGGAAUUCCUGGUGUAGCGGUGAAAUGCGCAGAUAUCAGGAGGAACACCGGUGGCGAAGGCGGGUCUCUGGGCCGAUAUUGACGCUGAGGAGCGAAAGCGUGGGGAUCAAACAGG
rnacentral:rRNA from 1 species